rnacentral:rRNA from 1 species
GAUGAACGCUGGCGGCGUGCUUAACACAUGCAAGUCGAGCGAGUGAGUUCUUCGGAACGAUCUAGCGGCGGACGGGUGAGUAACACGUGGGCAACCUGCCUCAUAGAGGGGAAUAGCCUCCCGAAAGGGAGAUUAAUACCGCAUAAAAUUAUCGAGUGGCAUCACAUGAUAAUCAAAGGAGUAAUCCGCUAUGAGAUGGGCCCGCGGCGCAUUAGCUAGUUGGUAAGGUAACGGCUUACCAAGGCGACGAUGCGUAGCCGACCUGAGAGGGUGAUCGGCCACAUUGGGACUGAGACACAGCCCAGACUCCUACGGGAGGCAGCAGUGGGGAAUAUUGCACAAUGGGGGAAACCCUGAUGCAGCAACGCCGCGUGAGUGAUGAAGGUCUUCGGAUUGUAAAGCUCUGUCUUUGGGGACGAUAAUGACGGUACCCAAGGAGGAAGCCACGGCUAACUACGUGCCAGCAGCCGCCGUAA